rfam:Echinostoma caproni strain Egypt genome assembly, scaffold: ECPE_scaffold0010600
GCGCUGUUGACGAGUCCAAAAAAAGACGAAACAGCUGUCCAGUGC